rnacentral:misc_RNA from 1 species
CAGCUCCUCUCCCUGACCUGC